GCAUAUUUCUCUUCAAGAUUGAGAAUCGCAACGAAAUCCUCGUCGAGCAACACGUCCACUGAGCAACCAUGUCUGUGUCCUUAAAGGAACUCUGUCAGGUACAGAUUAGAACUAUGAACUUGAAAAUCAACCAUUCUGAUGACUGGCGUCCCCAUCCGAGUCACCACCUCAGACAACAACAGUCAUAAACUCACAAACACAAAUACACUCAGUAAUGCGCUUAAUAAAGAAAGACUUAACUAUGA